rnacentral:rRNA from 1 species
AUACGGAGGGUGCAAGCGUUAAUCGGAAUUACUGGGCGUAAAGCGCGCGUAGGCGGUUUAGUAAGUCGGAUGUGAAAGCCCCGGGCUCAACCUGGGAAUUGCAUUCGAUACUGCUUGACUAGAGUAUGGUAGAGGGAAGUGGAAUUUCCGGUGUAGCGGUGAAAUGCGUAGAUAUCGGAAGGAACACCAGUGGCGAAGGCGACUUCCUGGGCCAAUGCUGACGCUGAGGUGCGAAAGCGUGGGGAGCAAACAGGAUUAGAUACCCCAGUAGUCC